GAGACUUUAGUUUAAUUGGUAAAAUAUGUGACUCUUAAUCAUCAUUACAUGGGUUCGAAUCCCGUAGGUCUUA